rnacentral:rRNA from 1 species
UGGGGAAUUUUGGACAAUGGGCGCAAGCCUGAUCCAGCCAUGCCGCGUGCGGGAAGAAGGCCUUCGGGUUGUAAACCGCUUUUGUCAGGGAAGAAAUCUUCUGAGUUAAUACCUCGGGAGGAUGACGGUACCUGAAGAAUAAGCACCGGCUAACUACGUGCCAGCAGCCGCGGUAAUACGUAGGGUGCAAGCGUUAAUCGGAAUUACUGGGCGUAAAGCGUGCGCAGGCGGUUUUGUAAGACAGAGGUGAAAUCCCCGGGCUCAACCUGGGAACUGCCUUUGUGACUGCAAGGCUUGAGUGCGGGCAGAGGGGGGAUGGAAUUCCGCGUGUAGCAGUGAAAUGCGUAGAUAUGCGGAGGAACACCGAUGGCGAAGGCAAUCCCCCUGGGCCUGCACUGACGCUCAUGCACGAAAGCGUGGGGAGCAAACAGAUUAGAUACCCUGGUAGU